rnacentral:ncRNA from 1 species
GGGGCGUAACCGAAAAGCCUUAUGAGUAGGAG